rnacentral:rRNA from 1 species
UACGUAGGUGGCAAGCGUUGUCCGGAAUUAUUGGGCGUAAAGCGCGCGCAGGCGGUCUUUUAAGUCUGAUGUGAAAGCCCACGGCUCAACCGUGGAGGGUCAUUGGAAACUGGGAGACUUGAGUGCAGAAGAGAAGAGUGGAUUCCACGUGUAGCGGUGAAAUGCGUAGAGAUGUGGAGGAACACCAGUGGCGAAGGCGACUCGUUUGGUCUGUAACUGACGCUGAGGCACGGAAAGCGAUGGG